UUGUUUAUUUUAAUAUCAAACUCGCGCACUUAAUGUAAGCUGAACUGUAUGUGCUUUCCAAAUACAGUACAGGUACAGGUAACGAAUUUCGUAAGCUUAAAGUUAAUAGCCUACAAAAGUAAGAAGAUGAAAUCUUCUCUGUUCCUCUCUGUUUCUCUGCUAACAUUCUGGAUGGUCGACAGUAAUAGUCUGCUAGGGUCAGUCUUGCUUAUAACAUCUUGUCCUGAGGUCAAACAUGAGCCAUCGAUCUAUUGUCUCAGCGAAUGCGAGACUGACAGCACCUGCGACAAACUUAGCAUGUGCUGUGACAACGGCUGUGGUUGGAAAAAGUGCAUGAUCGUCAGGGCGAGCUGCAGUGAGGACGGUAAAACGAUCCCCCAUCAUGAUCCAAUGAAGUACAUCGCCAGGGACAAGAACGACUGUGGUACUUGUUGGUGUCAGAACGGACAUAAAGAUUGUCGCAGCUUCCCUUGUCCCUAGUGUCUGGCAUUCCAUACCAUGGCUUCCCAUGUAAACAAUUGCUUGUCAAUAAACGCCA